CUCGCGAGAGAAGCGUCGAACGUUGUGUGAGCGCCCGGUCGAAGCGCAGGCGACUCAUUUCGAUGCACCGAACUUCCUCCGCGGGAAGGAUUUAUCCGCGAAGGAAUUUAUUCGUUGGAGCCAUCGAGCGUCCUUGCAGACGCUGUAAAUCCUCGGGAGCAGACUUCAACGCGUGCCCGGACGCUAAGCGACUCGCUGCGCCAGGCUCGCGAGGCGAAACAUCGAUAAAAACUCGGGCCGCAAGCCCUAUUGCUGGGAAUCCUCGAGGAAAAAAUGCGAACGAUGAAGAAACAACGGAGCACGAUAUUUGUUCGAACUGCGACGUGAGAGAC